UAAAAAUUUAAUUUCAGUUUAAAGUUUUGUUUUUAAAUAGUUUUACAUGUUAGGUUUUGCGAGUUUUAAGUUAAUUUUAAAAAAAUUAAUCAAAAUUUAAUUUCAGUUUUUAGUUUUAUUAAAAUUAAUCAGUUAAUUAUUAGAUAAUUUAAUUAAGUUUGACUAAUUUUGUGCCAGCAGUCGCGGUUAUACAUUUAAGCUAAAUUCAACUUUUUAGUUUAGAAUUAAUUAACUAAUUGAUUCAGAAUAUAAUAAUUUUUCUUUUGGGUGAAAUUUUAAGAAAAUUAUUAUAUUCUAGUUUUUAAUUAUUUAAAAAUGUUUAAAGAAACUAGGAUUAGAUACCCUAUUAUUUUAAUUGUAAAAUUUAACUUUAAUAUUAAUAGUUAUGCUCUUUAAAUUAAAUGAAUUUGGCGGUAAUUUAAUCUUUCCAGAGGAACCUGUUAUGUAAUUGAUAAUCCACGUUUAAUUUUUCUUUUAUUAUGCUUGUAUACCUCUAUUAUUGAAUGUUUUGUGAGAAUAUUUUCUUAGUUUUUUAAUUAAAUUAAUGUUAGGUCAAGGUGCAGUUAUAUAAAAGUAUAAAUGGGUUACAUUUUUAAAAAAAUUGGAUAAUAAAAUUGAUAUUUUAUUUGAAAUUGGAUUUGGAAGUAAUAGGUAUUAUAUAAUACUUUUGAUUUUUGCUCUAAUUUAUGUACAUAUCGCCCGUCACUCUCAGCGAUGAGAUAAGUCGUAACAAAGUAGAUUUACCGGAAGGUAAAUCUAGUAAGAU
rnacentral:ncRNA from 1 species